CAGUCGCCGCGGGAAAACGGAGGGUGCAAGCGUUAUCCGGAUUUAUUGGGUUUAAAGGGUCCGUAGGCGGAUCUGUAAGUCAGUGGUGAAAUCUCACAGCUUAACUGUGAAACUGCCAUUGAUACUGCAGGUCUUGAGUAAAUUUGAAGUGGCUGGAAUAAGUAGUGUAGCGGUGAAAUGCAUAGAUAUUACUUAGAACACCAAUUGCGAAGGCAGGUCACUAAGAUUUAACUGACGCUGAUGAACGAAAGCGUGGGGAGCGAACAGGAUUAGAGACCCCGGUAGUCCCUGUCUCUUAUAC
rnacentral:rRNA from 1 species